GCCUGCCAGCUUCUCAUGAGAGCCAGCCCAGGCCCUGGUAUUCUCCGGGGGUGGGUCCAGGUGCGGCACCUAAUCCUCCGCUCAUUUUGCUGCAAUUCAAUAUUAGCCUCCAAUUUUCACGCUCUGCUGCCAUCCUACCUUCCUCCUUCUGGCCUCUGCUGGGGGAAGGGAGACCGAGGACUCCCUGCAAUGCCUCUGAGAGCCCCCUGGAAGUCUCUUGGGCUGACCCCACCCCUAGGCAUACUCAGCUGGAAGAGGAGCAUUGACCUUGGGAGGGAGGGACUGCUGUUCCCACUAAAGGAGCAAGGCCUGGGCAUCCAGAGGCCUGGGGGUGGAUCCUGGUUCCACCUCCUAGGCUGUCUCGCUAUGGAAUCCAAAGCCGUACAGGUUCUCCCAGCAUCCAGCUUGAAUUUAAGUCAUGUCACACGAACGCAAUGAUCAGCGUGUCCUGUUCCUCCAAAAGUUCAACAGAGUUCCCAUGUGGCCCAGCACGUGCUAUGAUGUGGAUGAACAUUUUAGAUUAUUGCCGAGGGAAAGAAGCCAGACACAAAAGGCCCCGAACAGUAAUUCAUGCUUCAGCAGGGCCGAAACAGUCUUGGAAAAGAACAGAGUCAGAGGAGUCACACUUCCUGAUUUGAACUUACUACAAAGCUGCGGUGGCAUUCUGCGUCAAGACUAUGUGGUUCCAUCAAUGGAUUGGACUUGACAGUCCAGAAAUAAGCCCAUAUAUUUAUGGGUAAGUGAUUUUCAGUGAAAGUGUCAGGACAAAUCAAUGAGGAAAUAAUAAUCUUUCAACAAAUGAUGCUGGGACAACUGGAUGUCUAACAUGCAAAAGAAUGAAUUUACACCCCUUGACUAAAAUUAAGUCAAAAUGAUCAAAGACCUAAUGUAAGAGACUAUAAAACUGGCAGAAGAAAACAUACGGGUUAGUCUCUUUGAACUUGGAGGAGAUGCUUUCUUAGAUACGACAGCUAAAGCACAAUCAAUCAAUCAAUCAAUCAAAUUGGAUAUCAUCGAAAUUAAAAACUUUUGGGGCACCUGGGUGGCUCAGUGGGUGAGGGUCCUGGAAUGGAUGGAGCCCUGCAUUUGGCUCCCUGCUCGGAGGGGAGUCUGCUUCUCCCUCUGCCCUUCCCCCCAACUCAUGCUCUCUCUCAAACAUAUAAAUAAAAUCUUUUUAAAAAAAUUUAAAACUUUUGUGCUUCAAGGAACAUCAUCAAGAAAGUGAGAAAAUAAAACUGAUAGAAUGGGAGACAGUACUUGAAAUCAUCUAUCUGGUAAGAGUCUAGUAUCCCAAAUCCAUAAGGAACAUUUACAACUCAAAAAUAAAAAGACAAAUAACCCAAUUUAAAAAUGAGCAAAAGAUUUGAAUAGGUAUUCUUCUAAAAAUAUUUAUAUGUAGAGAGAGGGAAAAAUAGGUAUUUCUUUAUAAAAAUAUAGAAAAGGGGCAAUAUGUACUGGAAAACAUGCUCAAGGUCAUUAGUCAUUAGGAAAAUGCAAAUCAAAACCACAAUGAGCUACACUUCACACUCACUAGGAUGGCUUAAUAAAAAACAACAACAGACAAUAAGAAGUGUUAACAACAUGUGAAGAAAUGGGAACCUUCAGAAAUUGUUGGUGAGAAUAUAAAAUAGUGCAGCCACUAUAGAAAACAGUGUGGUGGCUUACUAAUUAAUUAAAUUGAUUAAAUAUAGACUAUAGGAUCUUUUGCAUUCCCAAAAGAGCAGAAAACCAGGACUUGAACAGAUCAUUGUGUGCCAAUAUUCACAGCAGCAUUAUUCACAAUAGUCAGACAUGGAAACCGUCCAAGUAUCCAACAAUGGCUUCAUGGAUAAGCUCAGUGAUAUAGCCACAUGAUGGAAUAUUAUUCAGCCUUAAAAAGGAAGGAAAUCCUGACACCUGCUGCAACAUGGUUGGAUCUCAAAGAUAUUGUGCGGGUGAGAGAGGCCAGACACAAAAGGCCACCUAUUUCAUUGUUCCAAUGAUAUGAAAUAACCCAGGAAGCAAAUCCACAGAGAUAGGAAGUAGAUUAGUGGUUGUUGGGGGGCUAGGGAGAGGGAGAAUGGGGAGUGACUGCU